rnacentral:rRNA from 1 species
AUUGAACGCUGGCGGCAGGCUUAACACAUGCAAGUCGAGCGAGUGGCGGACGGGUGAGUAAUGUCUGGGAAACUGCCUGAUGGAGGGGGAUAACUACUGGAAACGGUAGCUAAUACCGCAUACCAUCAGAUGUGCCCCGAUGGGAUUAGCUAGUGGGUGGGGUAAAGGCUCACCUAGGCGACGAUCCCUAGCUGGUCUGAGAGGAGGACCGUCCACACUGGAACGUAGACACGGUCCAUACUCCUACGGGAGGCAGCAGUGGGGAAUAUUGCACAAUGGGGGCAAUCCUGAUGCAGCCAUGCCGCGUGUAUGAAGAAGGCCUUCGGGUUGUAAAGCACUUUCAGCGAGGAGGCGUUACUCGCAGAAGAAGCACCGGCUAACUCCGUGCCAGCAGCCGCGGUAAUAC